UUUUUUAUUUCAUACUUUAGUCACAUUUACAGUUUUCAACCACUUCCUUUCAAGAUAUCGAACUUUCAAUAUUAACUUAGUAAAACAAAAUUCUACCAAGAUAUUACAUAUUAUAUAAAACAUUAUAAUUAUUUGACAGAUCUUAAAGAGUAAAGUAUAUGUAAAAAGAUGUAUACAAUUCAUCUUACCACAAGAAAGUUACUUUGAAAACAACUUAGCUGAUCUGAAAUAUAAAAGCACUCGCCUCCAGCUCUUCAAAGUGCCGCAACUUUAUCUCCAACUUCUUCAUCUGCGUCUCCACGAGAAGAGCCACAAGGGACUUAAUCUUCCGCUCUUCGACGCCCGCGAGAUGCUUCGCCUUAACUGCUGCAGCCGCAAGUGCUGCAGCAGCUGCGGAUUGCAAUUUCGCGUCUACCGCUGCUGGCGCAGUACCAGCGAUGCCAGUACUCGCGAGCGCGGCUUGAGGGCCCAGAGCACCUGCGGCUCGCACGUGGGCCUCCAUCAUGGCUGCUGGUACUUCGUCCUGGAAAAAUAUUGAUGCCGUUAUACUAUGAUAGUAGCAACUUGAAUUAGAAAAAUCCAAAAUACUUCUUCGGGUCAGCUUUCGGUAAAAAAAUCUUUUUGUACGUAUUUUCACGCUGCCCCGAAAUGUAGUUUACUCUAGUUAAUUUCGGUAGCUAUUGUUUGAGGGCUGUUUAAAUGUACGUUAAAUUAAACUUUGUUUGAUGCUGGGUGUCAACUGGCUAUAAUCGUUUAAAACAUGAACUUAUAACUAACAUAAAAGUAGUGGUUAGUAGGGUUUCGAAGAUGGAUUAACAAAAAACUAACUUGACUAAACCUAACCCUUCAAUUCUUCUUCUUCUUAGUCAAAGUGACACUUAUGUUAAGCUUAAAUGUCAUUGCUUGUUGUGGCGUCCAUGCGACAGAUUGUCUCUCUCCCUAAAAUAUGGCAAGGGGGCCGAUAGAGGUAUGCUGAUGAUGAUAUGCUAAUGAUUACUUCUGAUUUUUUUUCAUAAUUAACCGUUAAUUACUUAAGAUGUCAUAUUGACUAUGGUGUAAGGGUUGCAUAUCUUUACAAACAAAAACCUUGGCGAUUAAAAAGAGUGGCGGAGAGUUUAUUUCCAGUUCUUCUCUUCCAUUCUACGACCUUGAUUUGAGAACUGGCAGAAAAUGUAAAAUAAGAAGCAUAGCAUAUAAUAUGUAUUUCUGUAUUGAGGUUCGUAAGUGUAGAUUGUGUUAUCUAAAUAAAUAAAUGAUUUUGAAUUUGUUACCUAUAAAGAUUUUAAGUGUAGUCGACCUAUUGGAAAUUAUCAGUAAACAUAAUGUUAUAUUACAUUUAAUGAGUGUGGGAAAAACUAAAGGGCUUUUGGCUUCAAGUGUGGGACGAUUGCGCUUUUAAUUAUUAACUAAUAUAUAUACACAUACAUAUAUAUGUAUGUAUGUAACUUAACUAAUUUUAGGUUACAUAAGUUUCGCAAUAGAAAUUAACAUAUCUAAAGGGAAAAGGGUUAAAAACCUUUGCAGUACCU